rnacentral:rRNA from 1 species
AUUGAACGCUGGCGGCAGGCCUAACACAUGCAAGUCGAACGAGUGGCGGAGGGGUGAGUAAUGUCUGGGAAACUGCCUGAAGGAGGGGGAUAACUACUGGAAACGGUAGCUAAUACCGCAUACCAUGGGAAGCGCCCAGAGGGGAUUAGCUUGUUGGUGGGGUAACGGCGCACCAGGGCGACGAUCCCUAGCUGGUCUGAGAGGAUGACCAGCCGCUCUGGAACUGAGACACGGUCCAGACUCCUACGGGAGGCAGCAGUGGGGAAUAGUGCACAUUGGGGGCAAGCCUGAUGCAGCCAGGCCGCGUGUAUGAAGAAGGCCUUCGGGUUGUAAAGUACUUUCAGCGGGGAGGCGUUACCCGCAGAAGAAGCACCGGCUAACUCCGUGCCAGCAGCCGCGGUAAUAC